UCCUCACACACAAUAUAUAUUUUUCUUGUUUUGAGUAUUGAUAUCCUUUGACCGUUCUUCACAUUCCAGACUUCUCUUAGAAAGGUUCAAACUCACACAUACACACACUGUUCAUCUUGUUGUUGUCACUGAUGACCAAGGUCAUCACAUGGGAGAAAAAGACAAGCCACGGUGUGUCCAGCUAUGGUCAAUCCUCCAAUAUUUAUUCGGAAGGGCUCUGCCCCAGACUGGGCACUGGUGGUCUGCUGGGACUUGCACAGUUUGCAUUUUCCUUGUAUCCCUGCAAUCCGGUUCUGUUCGCAGGAGGUGGCAUCUCUUUCAAUGCAGCUUUGCCAGGCAGGGUGGCUCUUGGGCCUGUGUUUCCCCAGGUUUCAGGGUUGAUCCCAAAGCUCUCCUGUGAGGUUUUGAGUUUAUCCCUGAAGCAUUUUUCCUGUCCACCUUGCAUGCGUUUGCCUUUUGCCACUUGACGAGUCAUGUGUCAGGCAUUCAAACAAGGUGGCCUGCUUACCUGACUUGCCACCUCCUCACACACACACAUAUGUACAGUCCAUUCCUCCCAGCUUCACUCCCAAGGUGACAAGAAGGGUUUGUCUUUUUCUUAUCAGGGUUCAGUUGCUUGGACGAACAAAUAUUUAUUAGGGGUCUGCUUAUCCAUAAGGAUAUCAAUUGCUGUACUAACACGUCAUAGUAUUACUAAGAUCUGGUGCUGAGGAGGUGUGAAUUGAUGAUGUCCUCUGCUCUGGGUCCUUAUAUUAACCCUUUCGUUACCAACCCGGCUGAAACCGACUCUGGUUUUGUUGUACAAGUAUUUUGUUUUCUUAAGUUCUGACUUAAAAUCUUCCACCAAACCUUAGUCAGAAUUUGUGUUCCUAACACUAGUUUAAUGAUAACUAAAUUAUUUUACUAAAUUCUUUGUUACAUUUAAAAUGAAUUGGAAGAAACACAGAGCAUCUCAAAAUAAAUACAGUAACGAAAGGGUUAAACCAUCAGGUCAGUAAUGAGCCUAAUUAUUAAUUAUUAAAUGAAUGACACAGUUUUUUCCCUUCUGUUUUUUUUUUUGUUUUUUUUCUUUCUUUGUUUUUUUUGCAAUUUCUAAAAUCUAUCAGAUAUUAAGAAAAACAAAAAUGAGAAUUUAAAAGGAAAUUUGGCAAGGGUGGGCAGGAUGGUAAAAAAAAAACAAUAAAAAAAUGGUGUUUAAAAUAUUUCAAUUUAGUUCACACCACCUCAGACUCCACUUUCAAACCUCCCCUUCAACCCCCUUUCCUCACCUGUGACCGGCCUGACCUCACUUCUAACCCUCGAGUUUCUCAUUUGUCAGUGUGUCUGUAAGUGCAACCAAACAUUAAAAAGAUCAAAAAACAGUCUGCAAAAGUGCAUUGCAACUGCAGCAUCCUAUAUAAAGUAUUCUUGGAAAUGAAUUUUACCCCACUAUCCACAAUUAAUGUGUGCCAAAAAAACAACCACAACAACAACAACAAUAAUAAUAAUAAUAAUAAUAAUAAUAAUCCUUUCUAUUAAAGGCACGAGGCCUGAAAAGUUGUGGGAGGAGACUAGUCGGUUAUAUCGACCCCCAAUAUUUCACUGGUACUCAAUUUAUUGACCCCUGAAAGGAUGAAAGGCAAAGUUGACCUCAGUGGUAUUUGAACUCACAAUGUAAACACGGAAGAAAUGCAGCUAAACAUUACGCCUGGCAUUGCUAACAAUUCUGCCAGCUCACCACCAUAAUAAUAAUAAUAACGUGUCUCUAAAAGAAAUGGAGAAACUUUCAAAAUACAAAGACCUGGAAAUAGAGGUAACCAGAAUGUGGAAUCUAAAAACAGAAACAAUUCCUAUCAUAGUGGGUGCAUUAGGCAUGAUAAAAAAAUAUUCAGACAAAUACAUAACAAAAACACCAGGACUUACAAACACAUAUAACAUACAGAAAAUUGCACUACUAGGCACUGCACACAUCCUACGCAGAACACUUUCCAUACAAUAACCAUCAGAGCAUCACAACAAAUCACAGCACAUACCCAAGGCACACAGAGCUGUGCUCGGUAGUGAAGUGAAAGCAUGCUAUAAAAAUAAAACUACUGAAUAAUAAUAAUAAUAAUAAUAAUUUUAUUAUUAUCAUUAGUAUUAUUAUUACUUAGGUUGGUGCAUAAUUAUUGCGGCUUUUUAACAAUAAAUUUUAUUCAAUGAAAACAAUGACAACAUUUAACAAAAAACAUCUUUAAAUGAUUAUUCUGGAGCAUAUUCACCAUCUACUUCAAUUUCUGCUUGGUAUUUUGUUUGAAUUUUUUUGUUGAAUAAAAUUUAUCGAGAAAAAGCCACAAUAAUUAUGCACCAACCUAAUAAUAAUAAUAAUAAUAAUAAUCAUGAUAAUAAAGAGUUUAACAAGUUCAGAAAAUAUAAAGACCUACUCAUUGAAAUUGAGAAAAUGUGGCAUCUCAAGGCGGUUACAAUACCAGUGAUCGUAGGAGCACUAGGAAUGAUCAAGAAGGGAACCAAAAAUUAUAUGAGAAUGAUCCCUGGCUUACCAUCCCUGCAAGAAGUGCAAAAGAUUGUCUUAACUGGUACAUCACACGUAUUGAGAAGAGCAUUGUCGAUGUGAGAACUAUUACUACCCAUGUAUUUUAAUUUAACU
rnacentral:lncRNA from 1 species